rnacentral:rRNA from 1 species
GCGCAACCCUUGUCCUUAGUUACCAGCACGUUAUGGUGGGCACUCUAAGGAGACUGCCGGUGACAAACCGGAGGAAGGUGGGGAUGACGUCAAGUCAUCAUGGCCCUUACGGCCUGGGCUACACACGUGCUACAAUGGUCGGUACAAAGGGUUGCCAAGCCGCGAGGUGGAGCUAAUCCCAUAAAAACCGAUCGUAGUCCGGAUCGCAGUCUGCAACUCGACUGCGUGAAGUCGGAAUCGCUAGUAAUCGUGAAUCAGAAUGUCACGGUGAAUACGUUCCCGGGCCUU